UGCCAACCGUCGCCCGCGCGCCUCCGAGCGACCGUUGGGGCGCGCGCUGGGCAGGGCCGGUGGGCGCUGAGGGGACGGGACCGCGGGACAGGGUCCCCACGGGAGACGAUGGGCCGCCGGGCGCUUCCCGGCCCGUGAACGAGGGCUGCAGGUUCGCGGCCUGAUGGAGGGUGAAGUCUUAGGGUUUAGUGCUCUGUUGUGCUCAGCUGCGUCAGCCAGCAGAGACAUGGACCUGUUGGAGAGGGGCCAGAGGAGGCCACCAAGAUGAUCAGAGGGCUGGAACAGCUCUGCUGUGAGGACAGGCUGAGAGAGCUGGGGUUGUUCAGCCUGGAGAAGAGAAGGCUUCGGGGAGACCUUAUUGUGGCUUUUCAGUAUUUGAAAGGAGCCUGUAAGAAAGAUGGGGAUAGGCUUUUUAGCAGAGCUUGUUACAACAGGACAAGGGGUAAUGGUUUUAAACUAAAGGAGGGGAGAUUCAGCCUGGACAUGAGGAACAAAUGUUUUACAAUGAGGGUGGUGAAACACUGGCCCAGGUUGCCCAGAGAGGUGGUAGAUGCCCCAUCCCUGGAGACAUUCAAGGCCAGGCUGGAUGGGGCUCUGAGCAACCUGAUCUAGUUGAAGAUGUCCAUGCUCAUGGCAGGGUGGCUGGACUAGGUGAGCUUUGAAAGUCCCUUCCAACGCAAACUGUUUUAUGAUUCUAUCCUCGGGAGUGCCUCUCCCCUCUGAACCUUGUAUUGGGGGCACACCAUGUGUACAUACCCACCGAGUGAGUGUAUUUCCCACCGUCUGCCUGCUGUGUAACAUACAGCGUAACAGCUGGGGGACUGUGUGGCAGGAUGCAAACCCCCUUCUCCCUCUCUCUCUGCUGUUUGAGGCUAACAGCUUCUUUUGUUUGGCCCCAGAGCACCCUGGCCAGGGCCGUUAGGAGAAGGGAGUGCCAAAGUACCAGUGAGCCGCUGGGCACCCGCGGCCAGUGUGAGGGAUGUUUGGAAGCUUCAGGGGCACCCACAGCCAGGGUGGGGGGUGCAGAGAAGCUUCUGGAGUGUCCACAAUCAGAUCUGAUCAGCCAAUAUAAAACGGGACUCUCAUCGAGACUCUGAAACUGUCGCGGGUCUCUUGGAGCACGAGCGAGAUGCUGCCGCCGAGAGGCCCCCUCCCCAGGAUGGAGACUCUGCUUGCCUUGCUGCCACGUAUGGCAAACAUCUUUUCCUGCUAGCAUCGGAAGAAAAGGCAAGUUCCCUUUGCUGGGAGAAGAAAAGCAAUCCAGCUCACCUCACAAGUCCCCUUUGUUCUGGACAAAGAUUUAAAAAAAAAUCUGUCUCCAAGCUAGAGAAAGACUCCAGAUGACAUCACAAAAGUUUGAGUGUCAAAGCCAUCUUGCUUACUUUGGAUUUUGCAUGAUAACUUUGAGACUAUCUGUGUUAGAGCUUAUGUUGCAAUACACAACUGGUCAACAAUCUCCAAACAUCUGCCAUGGGUAAAUACAGGAAGUGUCUUGUGGGUAUUGUACUUGAUAUCUGGUAAGCUCUGAACCUCAACAUUUCCAGUCAUUACUCUUGAGAAAUAAUUUCCUACUGCAAGCUCUUUUUUUAUUAAAAAUAUGUUUUUUAAUACUUGUCUAUCCUUGAAAUAAAAGAAUAAAUUCUUAAUGUUUUCAACCAGAUUCAUAAAAAUAACUGAUAGUUUUCCAGUCAUGUUGAGUCCCAGUUAUUUAUGUGUACAACAUGACUAAAGAAUAAUUACCUUUACUAGUAAAAUAUUUUGCUUUAUAUGUGUGAAAAGGAUAUUGAAAACAAUGUUUAAAGUCAGUAAACAUAUUUGGUUACAAUUUUUUUAAUUGUUUCUUCUUUUGAGAUAAAUUGUUCCUUCUCAUUUGGUAAUAAAUCAUUAGGGCUCAAUAAGGCAAGAAGAAAUAUUUGUUGUUUGUACUGACUCUAGCUGGUAGAAAACAGUAGUAGUAAAUAGCAGCAGAGUGGAAAAUACUUCUCUCUUUGGAAGUCUAGCCUUUUUAAUAUCAAGAUCACUGUUGUAAGGCAAUGUCAAGAUAAGUAACUGCUUGAACUCAGUUUAAAAUACUUUUUAUUUCCUAUUUCGUAGCCUCUGUCACUGGCCAGAUUCAGCUUUGUGAGUAUUUUACUUAAAUUGAAGAAUGCAGUGACAGGGAACCCAGAUAUGUAUGUGGUGCACUGUUUUUGUUUACAAGAAAUGCACACAAAAUCCUAUUUCCUUGAAAAGAGGAUGAGUCAAACAAUAGGACGCACAUUGUCUGCUUACAAUUUGUUCUUUUGACUUUCCUUUGGUGACAUAAAAUUGUUGCUUCUCUU